rnacentral:lncRNA from 1 species
UGUGCUCCAGGAUGCCUUGAUCCACGCUGAGAGCCUCAGAAUCCAGCUGAGCAUUGCUUGGAUGUGAACUUCCCUUCCUGUUUCCCAGCACAGGUUGCUCUCAGGCACAAGAUUCUGCAAGCUAUUUUGGUUGGUCCUGCCAUGAAGGAGAUGGUCCUGUGGAAACGCUAACCUACAGCUGCUGCCUUCCAGCACCCUGCUAGAUGUGCACAGGAGGAAGCAAGAAGAUAAGCAAGGACACCCCUCAGUCCUCCUUCUUGAUGCUAAGAGGAUGUAGUGACACCUAGAAUUGAGAGUUUCUAUCUCUAGGGGAACUGUCCUAACUUCUGACAGAGGGAAAAUAUCAGAUUCCACUGACUACUUCUGCUAUCUAAGUAUUUUAUAUGGAAACUUGUAAUCUGGGGAAAGCUGCAAGCUAAGAAUCUCAGAGGCAGCAACCCCUACCACUGUGAGACUGUUAUGACGGAGCUGGUCCCUGCCUCUAUGAACUUGGUCCCAAUUUAUAUUAGACUGUGUAGUAACCCCCAGCACCGCCUUCCUGUGUGUCCAUCUCCUGCAGUGCCAGGGUAGCACUAAGGGCUUCUAGCCAGCAUAGUCCUGUGUAAACAAUGACUAUUUAUUCAUUCUCAGAGAAGGGACCUGAGGCUGAGUGCUUUUAAGUAAGUGGGACAUACAGUGGCCUUCUGCAGUUCUGUGCAUCUGACCCUUUUCUUCAUUGAUUCUACUCCAAGCACCUGCAAAUGUAACAUUCCGUACUGAAAACGUUUUGUGCUUAAUGGCUUGCUUUCACUGUUGUGAGAAAAAUGAAAAUUUCAGAGGGGUUGCAAUCAAGACUCUUCCCUGUCCUCUCCAUUCUGUUGUCAACAUGAAAAAUCAGCUAUUCCUGUAAUCCAAGUCCCAGGAUAAUGUCAAAUGAAGUCCACACAGGAGAGGCAAGAGUACAGAUGCAAGGGCAGCCUGUUGGGCUCCCCAACCUUCAGAUUCUGCAAGUGGCAGCACUGUGCUGACCUUCCAGAAAGUGGGAAUGACACAAGAGAUUGCCAUGUGACUCCUAAUGCUUUAUGGGUAAUUGGAAUGGUGAUGCACCCAACUGACUGCUGCAGUUUUCUGAGAAAAGAAAAAGUGAGUAAAAAUAUAGUAGAUCUUCAAAGCAACACAAUUCUUCAACCUGGAGAAGAAAUACCUUCAGAUUUCCACUCCAAGUACUACUGUGCCUUCUCCGGGUGGAUGGAAUAA